UUCGCCAGGGAACAACGAGCCCCAGCUUAAAACCCAAAGGACUUGGCGGUGCUUUAGACCCCCCUAGAGGAGCCUGUUCUAGAACCGAUACUCCCCGUUCAACCUCACCCUCUCUUGUUCUUACCGCCUAUAUACCGCCGUCGUCAGCUUACCCUGUGAAGGAUUAAUAGUAAGCAAAAUUGGCAAAGCCCAAAACGCCAGGUCGAGGUGUAGCGUACGAGAGGGGAAGAAAUGGGCUACAUUUACUGAAGCAGUAAAUACGGAUGAUUGCACUGAAACAAGCAUCUGAAGGUGGAUUUAGCAGUAAGAGGGGAAUAGAGCGCCCCCCUGAAGACGGCCCUGAAGCGCGCACAUACCGCCCGUCACUCUCCCCGAAAAACACAACUAAUAAAUAAUACCAGACAACGAUAAGAGGGGAGGCAAGUCGUAACAUGGUAAGUGUACCGGAAGGUGCACUUGGAAAAACCCC
rnacentral:rRNA from 1 species